rnacentral:rRNA from 1 species
UACGUAGGGUGCAAGCGUUAUCCGGAAUUAUUGGGCGUAAAGGGCUCGUAGGCGGUUUGUCACGUCUGCUGUGAAAACUGGAGGCUCAACCUCCAGCCUGCAGUGGGUACGGGCAGACUAGAGUGUGGUAGGGGAGACUGGAAUUCCUGGUGUAGCGGUGGAAUGCGCAGAUAUCAGGAGGAACACCGAUGGCGAAGGCAGGUCUCUGGGCCAUUACUGACGCUGAGAAGCGAAAGCAUGGGGAGCGAACAGG